AUAGCUGCAUUUAAAAAUCACUAGAAAUAGUUGCUCUCUGGGUUGUUAUGGCAUCAAUUCUGUAAGCAGGUUCAUUUCUUUUAAUUUAAUUUUGUUUUAUAGUAAUUAUUUUUAAAAAUUUAAUUUACUCUUAUACCUAUAUAAGAUAUUACAAAGAACCAGACUCACAAUUCUAAAAAAUAAGGUAUAUUUAGAGAAAUCUAACUUCUAUCCUUGUCCCCUCUGCUAUGUUCCCUCCUUUCCCUAUAGAUAACCAUUUCAAAAGUAUUUUAAAAAAAUAAACAUUUCCUACAGUCUAAUAUACAUGUAUGAAAGAGAACACGUCAUAGACAUAUAGUGCAAUGAGUUAUCACAAAGUGAAAACAUCACAAUAUCACCACAUACUUGCUUAAGAACUAAAACAUCACUAGAACACCCAGAAGUUCCUCUCAUGUAUUCUCGAUCACCAUUCCUUUCUUCCUCCCC
rnacentral:lncRNA from 1 species